GGCCUAGAGAAAGCAAGGGACGAUAUUAUCAAGAAGAUCAGUGACGGUGACCCUGUGUCCAAGGCGCAUCUCAAGAUACUCUCAGUUGUGGGAUUUGGAGGACUGGGCAAGACCACACUUGCCAGAGAAGUAUAUGAUUCCCUUCCAACAAAAUUUGGUUACAAAGCUUUUGUGUCCGUGUCUCGGAAUCCAGACAUGAAGAAAGUAUUAAGCAAUCUUCUCUUCAAACUUGACAAGGAAAAACACGCUAGUAUGAAUGCAGCAAACUUGGAUGUAGAGCAGCUCAUCAUCCUAGCCCGUGAACUGCUUAGCAAGAAAAGGUACUUUAUAAUUAUCGAUGAUUUAUGGGAUAAAGAAGCAUGGCAAACAAUCAGACUUGCACUCGUGGAAAAUGGGUGUGGAAGUAUAAUAAUCACUACCACCCGCCAUCUUGAUGUCUCUAAAAUAUGCUGCUCUUAUAAUGAUGAUAUGAUUCAUAAGAUGGAACCUCUCUCUGACAAUCACUCCCAAAUACUUUUCUAUAGAAGAAUAUUUGGAAGUGAGGUUUGUCCUCCUAGAUUCCAGCAAGUAUCCAAAGAGAUCUUAAAGAAAUGUGCUGGGGUACCAUUAGCCAUCAUCAGUUUGGCUAGUUAUUUGGCUAAUAAUGAGAGGACCAACCAAAUUGAUCAAUGGUAUGUUUUGCUCAACUCUAUUGGCCAUGGACUUAAAAAAGGUGAUGAUGAUGUGAAGGAAAUGAAGAGGAUAUUAUCAUUGAGCUUUUAUGACCUCCCUUCUUAUUUGAAGACUUGCUUUUUAUAUCUAAGUAUCUUUCCAGAAGAUCAUCAAAUUAGCAGAGAUCGGUUGAUAAGAAGAUGGAUUGGUGAAGGAUUUAUCCAAGUAGAAGAUGAAACUGCUAGCCUUCUUGAGCUUGGAGAUAGCUACUUCAACCAGCUAGUAAACAGAAACAUGAUCAUUCCGAUAAACAUGCAUGUUGAUGGUAGGGUUGAAGCUUGUUGUGUACAUGACAUAAUGCUGGAUCUCAUAUGUGAAUUAUCAAGCGAAGUAAACUUUGUUACUGUAUUGGAUGUUAUCAAGGGAGACACAGCUUUGAAAGAGAACUUCCGCAGAUUGUCCAUCCAGAAGAGCAUGACAGAUCUCACCACCACUCAGAUGGAUACCACAAGCAUGUCACAAGUAAGGUCUUUCACGGCUUUUAGUCCUGCUGUUAGUAAGAUCCCCCCUCUCUCUAUAUUUCAAGUUUUACGUGUAUUGGAUCUGGAAGGUUGUGAUCUUCGGAAAAGUCCUGGCAUUGGCCUUAGGCAUGUUGAGAAGUUGUUACAUUUGAGAUAUCUGGGGUUAAGGGGCACAAAGGUUGGCAAGCUCCCUAUGGAAAUAGGAAAGCUACAGUUUUUGCAGACACUAGACUUGCAAUUGACCAAUUCAAAAGAAUUAUCGUCCAGCGUCGUUCAGCUGAGGCAGUUGGUGUGCCUAAUCCUUGAUUCAGGUAUGUCACUACCAAAAGGGUUAUGCAACCUGACAUGCCUUGAACAGCUGAUGGGGCACGAUAUGGGCUUUCAUUCUGAAGAAACCGCAAAAGAGCUGGGCCAUAUGAGCAGGCUAAGAGAGCUCUCCUUUAGAUUGGAUGUUGGGGGAAAUGAUAAAGUUAGUAAAGCUUUGAUUGGGUCCAUAGCCAAGCUACACAAACUCGAGCGCCUGGAAAUCUUCGCUAAUGGUAAUUGGCGUGACCUAGUGCACGGUUUGGUGCCGCCUCCAAACCUACGCAGGCUUAGUUCAUACAAUCAAUUGCGGCUCAUUCCUGCAUGGAUUUGUUCUUCGUCGCUACCUCUACUCUCCUACCUUGAUCUAACUGCUAUUGAAGUGCGCUCCGGAGAUAUCCAGAACCUUGGGAUGCUGCCGGCUCUCCGUUAUGUCGCCCUUGACACAGGCAAUAUCAAAGUAGUGGUGGAGAAGCUAGAGCUUAGCGCCGGUGCCUUCCCGGAGGCGAGAGUAUGCCUUUUCCAUAGAAUUAUACUGGUGAACCCUACGUUCCAAAAAGGAGCUAUGCCAAUGGUUCAACGCCUUCGCUUCGGUCUCCGAGUGAAUGACAUCCUCAGUCCUGAGUUUGAUUUGAGCAUAAGAAACCUUCCUUCGCUCAAGCAACUCAGAAUUGACCUUUCCAAUAAUGAAGUCAGCCCUGAGGAUUAUUCUGAAGCCAUAGACGCGCUGAGGUGUGUGGCAGAGAGCCAUCCCCAAAGCCCC
rnacentral:rRNA from 1 species